AGCGAACGCUGGCGGCAGGCCUAACACAUGCAAGUCGAACGAACCUUUCGGGGUUAGUGGCGGACGGGUGAGUAACACGUGGGAACGUGCCUUUAGGUUCGGAAUAACUCAGGGAAACUUGUGCUAAUACCGAAUGUGCCCUUCGGGGGAAAGAUUUAUCGCCUUUAGAGCGGCCCGCGUCUGAUAGCUAGUUGGUGAGGUAAUGGCUCACCAAGGCUACGAUCAGUAGCUGGUCUGAGAGGAUGACCAGCCACAUUGGGACUGAGACACGGCCCAAACUCCUACGGGAGGCAGCAGUGGGGAAUCUUGCGCAAUGGGCGAAAGCCUGACGCAGCCAUGCCGCGUGGAUGAUGAAGGUCUUAGGAUUGUAAAAUCCUUUCGCCGGUGAAGAUAAUGACUGUAGCCGGAGAAGAAGCCCCGGCUAACUUCGUGCCAGCCGCCGCGGUAAAAC
rnacentral:rRNA from 1 species